rnacentral:rRNA from 1 species
AGCCUAACACAUGCAAGUCGAGCGGAUGACGGGAGCUUGCUCCUUGAUUCAGCGGCGGACGGGUGAGUAAUGCCUAGGAAUCUGCCUGGUAGUGGGGGACAACGUUUCGAAAGGAACGCUAAUACCGCAUACGUCCUACGGGAGAAAGCAGGGGACCUUCGGGCCUUGCGCUAUCAGAUGAGCCUAGGUCGGAUUAGCUAGUUGGUGAGGUAAUGGCUCACCAAGGCGACGAUCCGUAACUGGUCUGAGAGGAUGAUCAGUCACACUGGAACUGAGACACGGUCCAGACUCCUACGGGAGGCAGCAGUGGGGAAUAUUGGACAAUGGGCGGAAGCCUGAUCCAGCCAUGCCGCGUGUGUGAAGAAGGCCUUAUGGUUGUAAAGCACUUUAAGCGAGGAGGAGGCUACCAGUAUUAAUACUACUGGAUAGUGGACGUUACUCGCCAGGAANUAAGCACCGGCUAAACUCUGGUGCCAAGCAGCCGGCGGGUAAUUACCAGAGGGGGUGCCGAGCCGUUUAAUCCGGGAUUUAACUGGGGGCCGUUAAAGCGGU